UACGAAGGGGGCUAGCGUUGCUCGGAAUCACUGGGCGUAAAGCGCACGUAGGCGGAUUGUUAAGUCAGGGGUGAAAUCCUGGAGCUCAACUCCAGAACUGCCUUUGAUACUGGCAAUCUUGAGUCCGGGAGAGGUGAGUGGAACUCCGAGUGUAGAGGUGAAAUUCGUAGAUAUUCGGAAGAACACCAGUGGCGAAGGCGGCUCACUGGCCCGGUACUGACGCUGAGGUGCGAAAGCGUGGGGAGCAAACAGG
rnacentral:rRNA from 1 species